UUGCGUUAAAAAAGCUAGACACAGCAAAACAGGAUGUUUCAAGAAGAUAGGUGGAUCGAUGAGAACCAGCGUGGGACACCCGGGCAGAGAAAAGAUCAACGGAGACAACAGGGAUUCAGAGUUACUAGAGCCGGCCAGAUCCAGCUCCGUUCCUGCUUGGUGUCAGACUCCAGUGCUACAUGUCUCUGAGUAAUGACAAAUAAAUGCAGCCGGUGCCAGCCAGACAUCACUUCAGCCCUAUCUAUUAUGAUGGACUUCAGAGGAUGAACUAAUGCCAAUAAGACAUGGCAUACUUCAUAUGCCACUGCCUGAACCUUGGAUUUAGGAUAGACCUCACCGAAAUGACCUGCCGGUUGAACUGCGAUUCACCUCACUGAUCUCUGCCUGCAUCACCUUGGUCUAAUGAUGGACUACACUCUUAAAAUGGAAUAUAUAGACUAUCAAUUAAUUGCCAACAAAAGCCUUCAUCAGCCAACUAACAAAGGACAGUGCAUCUAUAUGAACUUCUGCAGUUAAUCCAGGAUUAACUUCAAAGACAUUAGUCAUUAAUCUUACAGUUCAUACAAAAUCUUUGUUUAAACAAUGACCCUUAACACUUACUUAGUUUACUAGUUUUAAACCACGACUUGCACUGCACAUAAAUAACUAAUAUUGGCAUUAUAUUCAUGCUGUUUAGCCAGAGGGGAACUGGCCCACACAGUGAUCCUGGUUUCUCCCAAGGUUAUUUUUCUUCAUUA